GUUAUCAAACAACUUAUGCUCGUAGUUGUUAAAGUUUAAAAACUUUACUUACCUCAAUAACCCUUCAAUUGCUCAAUUGUUAAAGUUUAAAAACUUUACUUACCUCAAUAACCCUUCAAUGGCUCAAUAGGUGUUGAUGGCUCAAUACUCUUCAAAGCCAAUUAAACAAUAUAUUAUUUAAUAAAUCUGUUUUUUCAUUUCAUACCUAUAUAUCUUGUCGAAUGAAUUCAUAUGUUCCACAACAAUUAAAGUGUUAGAAAUUGUAGCAAUGAUGAAAAUUGAGGCUUUUAUUAUGUGUUUCCUUUGUGGAUUGUUUCUUUUAUCUAUUGUGGCAAGUGAGACAUCUAAAUAUGGUUGGCCAUAUGUGGAUGAAAUUUUGAAAGACAGCAAAAGUGAAAGUUACGAGCCACUGUUAGCUAAGUUUGAUGGGAAGAAUAAACCCCCAAUAAUAUAUCCAAUAAUUGACCCAACUAUUAAGCUUGAGGGAGAGGGAAAGGGAAAAGGGGGUAAGGGAAAGGGAAAA